GCAUCGGUGGUGCAGUGGUGGAGCACUCGUCCCCGCGUAGGAUGAAACACGGGUUCAAUUCCUGAGACCGUGUUUUUGCU